GCAGGGUCUGAUCUCUGCACCCCGGGCCCCCGCGCAGACCCGCGGACGAGCGCUGGGUGGGGAUUUCAACCUGCUCCAGCUGAUGUGCGCGGGGUUUGCACCCCGGGGAGGCGAGGGAGAGAGUCCGGCCACGUCCUGCCAGGCCCCGCCCGCGCCCCCGCUGCCCUCCAGCGCGGAACCCAGGUCCCAGGAGACGCGAGGCGCCCAAGGCCCCGGGAUUCCGAGCCAGUCAACCCCGGGCCGCGACGCUCUGGGAACCACACCCGUCCAGGAAGGCACCUUGGCCAAAGCCGGCUCCUUCGCAGAUGACCCGGGCCAGGGUCCGAGCGCCAGGCUGUGACCCCGCGAGGCUGUUCCACGCUGGCCGCGAGAGACGGAGGGCAGGAGGGGCCCGAAUAGGACAGAGAGAGAGAGAGAGAGAGACAGAAGGAGGCGCACGCGCUCCCCAGGGACCGGGACGCGGUGGUGGGCGGGACCUCGCGGGGGUGGGGGGUGGUCGCAGGACCCAGAAGGCUCAGGACCUUUACGGAUAGGGAGGACCCCGCAGGGGGGAGCGGGGGAGCCCCACGCCCGGCGUCCUCCGGGUGCGAGGGUCUCGGGGAGUCCGAGCCCGGGCCCACGGCCUCUGUCCCGCGGCCACUACCUGCUGGGGGUCCCGGGCCUGGGCCACGCCGGGCUGCCCUCGGGGACUUGCUGCGGCCGUUGAGGGGUCUCCGCGCGCCGCGCAGACUCGCCUCCCAACCCGAGGGCCCGGGCGGCCGCCGCCCAGAGCGUCCAGCGGCAGCGUCUUGCUCUCGAAGGCGUCCUCCACGCAGCGGAACACGCAGCCAAGCUUGGGCCGGGCCAGAGGCCUCGCGGGCUCCUGAGGCUGCCGCGCGGUCACGGCAGGAGCGGGCGACAGAAUCCGGUCUCGGAGCCUCCUGUAGCGAGCCACAGGAGGGAGCCUCCCAGGUGGUCGACCGGAGCCAGGUGCUGCCAGGCACCCGACUGCAGAGCUUGCCCUCCAGGUGAUCUCGCAGUAUCGGUGUUCACAAGCCCUGUAAGGCACUCGGGGUAUCCUGAAGGCUACAGAUUCUGCAAGGGCAGAGACUUUAAGGAACAGCCAUAGUCCUUCUCCAGCUCAAAAUCUGGACCAUGGGCACAAGGUUGUCCCGGAACCAUCGAUCUCUAGAAGGUACAGGAGGAAGGGGACCUGCCAGUCCAGCCCUCAUAUUUUACAGAGGGAAAAGGUCGGGGCCCCCAGCCCCACGGGCACGAAGGCACCAGAACCUCGCUAAAAGCUGCAGGGCAGAACCCUCAUCAAUACCACCAUGGGUACCACGUGCAGACGUAGUCGUACAUAUGGAUCAGGAAACAGCAUUCUGAUUGAUGUCAAAACAGAGCCGGAGGAACAGGCCCCUGCCGUCUGUGUGUGCUGGAAAUUUCCACUGGGAUCUCAACUGUUUGGAAACAUAACUCAGUUGGCAAGGAAGACAAGAACCUUCCUGGGGUCCGGAACUCUGCCUGCUUCAGAAUCAACAGAUGAUGAAUGCCACUGGAAGGCUCGGGACCUACAGCCUCAGUUUCCAAAAAUGUGCAUGAGACAAGCAACCCCAGGGUUCUCACACAGGGUGAGCCGCUUGGGAGGGGGUGAGACCCUGCAGUCUGGAUCCUUGCUCUUCCCCAACACCGCCCCACAAAUACACAGAUUCCCAGCUGAUAGGACAUGGAGUGAGGGCCAAGCACAGGACCUUUCCCCAUAUGCUCUUUUGUCUGAGAAACUUUAGCCAAACAUUUUCAAACCAAACAGAAACAAAUGGCAGCCACUAACUCUGCUCACAGUCAAGGUAUUUUUUUCUUGAAGCUCUGAUUUGGGGAAAAUAUGAAACAGACCUUACCCAGACACAGGCUGUGCCUCCUCCUCCCUCUUCCUCCUCUACCCCCUUCAUGGGGUCUCUCUCAACUCUACAGAGGGGACCAGUGCUGUUAUCAACUCCCUGUCUGCCCAGGGCCGCCUCUGAGGUCAUCCUCUCCCCAGCCACCACGGCGGAGCCCCAUGUGGCUCACACGGAUGCUGGAAUGGUCCUCCCAUCCUGGGACAGUCCUCAGGCACGUGGUGCUCUGCUCUGGGUCACCCUCCUACUGAUUUUGGCUCUACAGCUCCCUAAUAAAUAAUAAAGGCAGAAGCCACUUUGAUGGUGCAGGUGGCAGGUGGGACAGUGAAGUGGGUGCACAGAAGCGGGUGCACAGGAGCAGGUUCACACACAACCAAAUGCACAGUGUGCACAGACACACACACUACCCAGGGCACAAGAGCAGGUGCACACAUACACGCACACUACCCAGGGCACAGGAGCAGGUGCACACACACAACCAAAUGCACAGUGUGCACACACACGCACUACCCAGGGCACAAGAGCAGGUGCACACACACGCACACUACCCAGGGCACAGGAGCAGGUGCGCACGCACAACCAAAUGCACAGUGUGCACACACACGCACACUACCCAGGACACAGGAGCAGGUGCACACACACCACCAAAUGCAGUGUGCACACACACACACUACCCAGGGCACAAGAGCAGAUGCACACACACCACGGCCAAAUGCACAGUGUGGACACACACACGCACACUACCCAGGACACAGGAGCAAGUGUAUACACACCAUGGCCAAAUGCACAGUGUGCACAGACAUGCACCCUACCCAGGGCACAGGAGCAGGUGCGCACACACGACCAAAUGCACAGUGUGCACACACACACACACUACCCAGGGCACAGGAGCAGGUGUAUACACACCACGACCAAAUGCACAGUGUGCACACACACAUGCACACUACCCAGGGCACAGGAGCAAGUGUAUACACACCAUGACCAAAUGCACAGGCACACUCCCCCCACACACUGGCAUGUGUGCACACACGUGCGCACACUUUCUGCCUGUUCUCCAUGGGUUCCUGGUUUCAUUUUGUAUCUGGUGGCGGCAGCUGUUCUCACAGGCCUCCACAGCGAUGCCCAGCUACCCUUUCUGAAAUCGGCUUCUCUAAUAAUGACAUCCCCUAUUAACGGCCCCAUGGCCAGGCUAGUAAAAGGAUCCAUUAUUGCUUUAACCAAGAUGGUUGCAUUAUAGAUUGCAAGACAGCUGGCCCGCAGGCUGUAAGCUGCUGGCUGAAAAGAAUAAAUUAGACAAUAGAGCAAUAAAGCGGGGAGGGGGACUCAUGGUUUCAAGUCAGUCGUUCAGUUUCUGAGAUUUUGUGCAAAUCACCCAGUAACAUUUGAGAAACACCUUCGCCCUUGGUAAAAACAGAAAGAUUCUAAACAAAGAGCAAAGAGAAAUAGCUCCAAAGCCAAUAGGAACCAGAAAAGAGGUUGGCAUCAUCUCCCAAAGUCGAAGAUUCCAACUCCUAAUGUGACCCAUGAGGAGUCGCGGCACCAGCGCAUCCGGAGACUCCACAGGAAUGUUCAAGAAGCAGCACUCGUAACAAGCAGAAGCCUGGAAAUAACCAAAUGUCCACCAGAGGGGAGGUAAAGCCCCAGCACGAGGUCACAGAUUGGAGGGUGCACAUGGCUGAAUCCCUGCAGAGUGAUUCCAAGCACAAACACCCAAAAAAAUGCCCGUUAACAAAGAUUUCAAACACAAUUAAAGAGUCUGCCUUUUGGAAA
rnacentral:lncRNA from 1 species